AAUGAACGCUGGCGGCAUGCCUAACACAUGCAAGUCGAACGAGACCUUCGGGUCUAGUGGCGCACGGGUGCGUAACGCGUGGGAAUCUGCCCUUGGGUUCGGAAUAACAGUUAGAAAUGACUGCUAAUACCGAAUGAUGUCGUAAGACCAAAGAUUUAUCGCCCAGGGAUGAGCCCGCGUAGGAUUAGCUAGUUGGUGGGUAAAGGCCGUACCAAGGCUACGAUCCUUAGCNGGUCUGAGAGGAUGAUCAGCCACACUGGGACUGAGACACGGCCCAGACUCCUACGGGAGGCAGCAGUGGGGAAGUAUUGGACAAUGGGCGAAAGCCUGAUCCAGCAAUGCCGCGUGAGUGAAGAAGGCCUUCGG
rnacentral:rRNA from 1 species